AGAGCUUUGAGAGAACAGGACUGUACAAACAAAGCCACUGUGGAUGAGUAAUUUUCAUUACAUUUUGAGCAAGAGAAUAUUUAGUUAUAUUUGAGAAAACAGAUGAUGGUAUCUGUGAAUAUCCUUCUCUGUAACAUCCUUUUCUGCAGCACAUUUGGGGUAGUUGGAGCUGCCCUAUGCUUGCCUUUGCAAGCACAAAACAUCAUAACAAAGAGGAUUCAAGCGCACAACUGCACAAGGAAUUUGCACACACACCCUACACAAAUAAAAGAGGAGUGGGGUGGAGGGAAUCCUCCUCUCUCCCAGGUGCAAUUCACUUGAGGCCUUGCUCCAAUCUGGUCAUCUCUGUUGCUGAGAGGAGCCUGUUAUUACCCCAUCUCAGAUGAUCCUCUGUGCUCACUGCUGAUGUUCACAGCCUGUGUGAUGAUGGAGAGGUGUUUACACCAUAUAAUCACUGGUGGCCAG